CUCCUACGGGUGGCUGCAGUGAGGAAUUUUGCGCAAUGGGGGCAACCCUGACGCAGCAACGCCGCGUGAGUGAUUAAGGCCUUCGGGUUGUAAAGCUCUGUUGUAAGGGAAGAACAUUCAGGAUAGGAAAUGAUCUUGAACUGACGGUACCUUACCAGAAAGCCACGGCUAACUACGUGCCAGCAGCCGCGGUAAUACGUAGGUGGCAAGCGUUAUCCGGAAUUAUUGGGCGUAAAGGGUGCGUAGGCGGUUUAUGAAGUCUAGGGUGAAAGUGCGGGGCUCAACCCCGUAUGGCCAUAGAAACUGGUAGACUUGAGUGCAGGAGAGGGCAAUGGAAUUCCAUGUGUAGCGGUAAAAUGCGUAGAUAUAUGGAGGAACACCAGUGGCGAAGGCGGUUGCCUGGCCUGUAACUGACGCUGAAGCACGAAAGCGUGGGGAGCAAAUAGGAUUAGAUACCCUAGUAGUCC
rnacentral:rRNA from 1 species